GAGAGAAAGAAAGACAGGGAGAAAGAGAGCAUGAGAGAGAGAGAGCAUGAGAGAGACAGCAUGAGAGGGGAGGGGCAGAAAGAGAAGCAGACAGAGAAUCCCAAGCAGGCUCUGCACUGUCAGUGCAGAGCCCAAUGCAGGGCUCGAAUUCACAAUGAAAUCAUGACCUGAGCUGAAAUUAAGAGUCAGAUGCUUAAAUGACUGAGGCACUCAGAUGCCCCUUGAGCCAACUAUCCUAUCAAAAUGAGGGGUGGGUGCACAGUAAGGGCAAACAUUAAAUUACCACUAGGUCUAUGUUCUUUACAAAACAAACUUAGAAUUUCAGCUUGACAAAUUAUAAGUAAAUGGAUAAAUAAAUGAUAAAUAAAUGCAGAUUCGGAGUCUUUUGAAUGUCAUUAAUUUCAUUGUAUUGAUGUUAAUUAUUAGAUACAGCAUUUUAAGGGAAUAAGAAUUAUGAUUUUUUUUUGCAUCAGCUAUGGAAUAUUUUCCCUUUUUCUUGAGGUUGUGUUUCUUUGUUAUCAAUCAUUGCCUUUGUCUUAGAUUUUGCCAUCAUCACCCAGUAAUACCUAUUUCGAUUUUUCCCAAUGUAUAUGAAAUUGGAAGGAUUAUUGCUUUGAAAGGGUACAUAUUAAUUUGACCUGGGACUUAACACACUUUCUCAAGGCAGCUAACACCUCCCAGAUUCAACUGUGUUUACUGACAAUGUGUAUAUCACUGGGGUUUUAUGAGCUUUUUUCCAAGGAAUUUCUCUCCCACCAUGUUUCCUGGCAUUCUCCUUCCUACUUUCCCCCAAUAUCCUCUACUGCCACCAACUGAGAAAUCACUUGUUGUGGCAGCCUUCUAAGAUGGCUUCCAAUGAUCCCUGCCUCCCAGUAUUCCCCAAAUUGUCUAAUCCUCUCUCCCUUUGAGUGUGGGCUGAACCUGGUGACUUGGUUUUAAUUAAAGAAUAUGACUAAAGUUAUUAGAUGUCACUUCUACAAUUAGGUUGUAAAGACUAUGACUUUUGCAUAAUGACUUCCUUGCUGGUUUUGAUGAACCAUGCUUCUGUAUUGAAGAGCCCCAUGUGGCAAAGAACUGAGAGUAGCCGCUGGCCAGUGGCCAGCAGGAACUGGAACUCUCAUUGCAACAGCCAGUGAGGAACUGAGUCCAGCCAAUUACUAAUGUGUGCUUGGAAGUGGAUCCUGCCUCAGCUGAACCUUGGUGUGACUGUGAUACCAUCUCUACUGCAAGACCCUGAAACAAAAGAUCCUGGAGGUUGUACCCAGAUUCCAAACACAGAAACUGCGCGAGAGUCAAUGUGUGGGGUUUUAAACCACUAAACUGUGGGUUUAUUUGUUGUAUCGCAAUAGACAACUAACACAACUACUGUCUGAUAGUGAACAUACGAGGUAGCUCACUAUAUUCCUUUUGUAGUGAGUAGUAAAACAGUGGGACUAGAGAUCUUUACACUUUUGCCUUCAAAACAGACAGUUUCAUACCCAGGGGCAGGCUACAUGCAAAUGCCGACCAAGUCUAUGAAGAAACGUGUGACAUCUUUAGGACCUUCUCACAAAGAUCCUGCCUGCCAUUCUUCAUGGGCAAGAGGUAUCGACUAGUGGUUACUCUUUAGGAUAGUAUUACAAAAGUACAAUUUGUUUUUCCAUGACAAGGUUUGGCACAUAUACAGACUGGUACUAUGGAAGUAUAAAAUGGCUUUUAUUCUUGUUGCUGAUGGCAUAUUCUGAGAUACGUCUGUUUGUUUCACAGAUUCUUUCUCCCAUCAUCACAUCAUGUCAGCAGCUCGUUGAGUUUGUAGUGGACAAUCCCACUGGAGCUUUCCAAACAAUUACAGAAAAUGAAUAUAUAUGUUGUUUAAAAAGCAUAUCUGAAUGACAAAGAAUGAAGUCUGGCAUAUGUAACAAGAAAUGAGCACAUCUUCUAAAUGGGCUCGAUGGUUUCAUUUCCGUGGCUCACCGCGAGUCAUUUCUUGUUUUCCUGAUCCGUGCCUUCCGUGUCCUCAGAAGAGAUCUUUGAAAGGUGACGGUUGCUAAAAUAGUAUCCUGAUGGCACCGAAGACCAAUGACAGUGUGACCAUAAUGUACUGUUCUGCCAGAAAUAGUAAUGAGAGGAGCAAUCAAGUGCAGCUGGGAUGAAAAAUGAAGUGGAGAUCCUAGGACAGAUAGGGAGUGGGUUACGGACAAAGGUGUGAGAAAAUAAAAGGAGGAACAGAAGAGAAGAUUUGAAAUAUGACCGUCUUGAAACUGGCAGAUCAGCAAACAUCCGAAGAGAGGAAGGCACUGAACUCAUCGACCUUUCCUGAAUGGAGAUGAGAAGAUGCGUGUACCACGAGCAGCUGGAGCUGCCUUUAUUUGGAAACUUCUUCAGAACAACUCUAGCUCUGGCUCUGAAAACAAUAUGGAAUCAGACGUUGGAAGAGAGAAAUGCUGCUUGUUUCUCCAGGGCCACAAGAAUUCUGAUCACAUGAAAGCGUCACUUGUUAAAAUAAAAGCCCAAAGUUGUUCCAACUCACUUGAAACACCACAACACAAAACGGUCUUGACUCAAUUGAAAAGUAUAGUAGAGUCACGCCCUCAUCUUGACUCUGAGGGAUCUGCUCCUUCAGCCAUUUGAAACAGGACGGUUACCUUUACUAUUGAUUUUCCUAUUAACAAUUCAUUCGUUUGUGUUAAGCUUUGUGCAUUUCAAAAUAUGUAUCUCAUAAAUGGAAGCAUUGGGAUUCAAUUUUUUAAACCCUCAUUUUAUAAAUUUGAAAGCGAAAAAUCUUUAGAACAUUAUUAAAAUCUGAAAGAUGUGAAAAUAAUUUGAAGUGAUCCCAUCAAGGUUUCAAGAUACUAUCUUCUUUGUUUUCCGAAGAUUGAACUUCCAUCCCAUUUCCUUUGUGGACUGAGAAUGUAUCUUAGUGAUGACGGUGCUCGCACAUGGUUGUCACUCAAUAAAUGUGUGUUGAACUAAACCUCAUUAUUCCCAUUGCAAUGAAGUAGAUAACAACAGGUUUUAAUUCUAAAACUAUCGCUUAAUUGCUCUUUCUUAGCUUGUUUUCCUCAUAUUUAAAAUCAGGAAUAAAGCUUUCUGUCUCGCACUGCUUCCGUGUGUGCUGGUAAAUAUCUAACAACUUGACUGUCCUUUCCAGAUGGAUAGAUAGAUAGAUAGGCAGAUAGACAGAUAGACAGACAGAUGGAUAAAGGACCUGAUGUGUAGCUUCUGCCUGUUUCCAUGGUGUAAAUAUUCCCACCACAGACAAUUUUGAGCUACCAACAUGACGUCACUGAAUUGGAAAGAGCUGUGUAUAAUCUACUCUUGUGGUUUGAUAGAGGCCAGCUCCCAACACACCACGGUAUGACUUUAAGUUUACGGUUUGAUUUUAUGCAAUUGCUCUUCUGUGCUACUGUAAUUUGGAGCACUAAGAAUAUCUUAAGAAGUAGUAGUUUAGUGGAUGCCGCUGGGUCUCUUGCAUGCUGUGAUGCAUCCAUUGCCUAGCUGCUGUAGUGUAGGCUGAUUACCAUUCACAGCUGUCCCCUUGUCUGCAGAAUUACCCUUGACGGGGAGGGGCCUCACCCAGGAAGGCUACACACCCAGCUCCAACACUGCCCCCUGUGAUGGACUAUAGACAUUGACUGUCUGACACGAGGGAAGAAAACUGUCAACCUUUUGUCUCAAGCUGCGACCAACUCUGCAGUACAGUUUCUGCUCCAGAGCUUCUUAUGGGAACAGAAGGAAACCAAGACCGCAGCCUCUCUUGGUUCUUCCUGCUGCCUUGCCCCGCCUCUCUCAGAAAAUAACCUGAAUAAGAAUCCCUUUCUUAGGCUGCUUCUAGGGCACAAGAUCUAAGAUAGUCGAGAGCAGAAGUGGUCUUAGGAAGCAACUGUAAGGGUAGAAUUCUGAAGUUGGAUUCCUUGUUGUCUAGAUGUUAGGCAAUCACUGGAGGUAGGGGGAAUAUUGAUCAUCCCAGGUAUAGUGUGGCAGUGCCAUUGCUAAGACUUUUAUCUGUGGCGAACAGGGAUGGAGUACAGGUGAAGGGAAUGUAAUAAUUGGUGCAAUGUCUCAGGUAUUUGAGAAAUAUGGGGGAAAUAGUAUCUGUAAGGACUAUGGAACUGGGUGACUAUUGCUAAGUGCUAUUGAUUCAAUGAAGAGAAAUAAUGACCUGCUUACAUCUACUAGCUACCAAUUUAAAGCAAAGUGUUAGAAAGCCACCUGUGAGCAUUUGAGGCUCUCACCUUCUGUAGUUGAAGGAUAGACACAACUAACAUUAGACAAUGCUUAGUCACCCUGUAUUUACUUGUAAAAGUGGGCUGAAUUUUAGAGAAGCUAAAUUCUUAGACUAGACGAGUCUUCUGUGUUAAAAUUAGGCCAUGAUAAGAAGCAAAUGAGAUCCUGAGACUUUGAAUCUGCCAAUUCCCCUGAGACCUUUCGUUCUACGGAAGACUUACACCUUGUUGGAAAAUAGAAAUUCUCUCCUUGCCCGAAAGCUAUCAAGAGGCUCCAAACAAGGCCGACUCCUUAUAACACAAUGGUUUUGUUUCUCAGGUCUUCCCUCAUCUCUUCAUUUGGUCCCAUACCUAUAACAAUGGCUAAAUCUUAGUACAGACUGGGAAAAAGAUAGAGAUUUGUGAGACUUGGUUAGCAUGCUCCAAAAAGAACCGGGAGAAUAUGCUUGGGAAUGGCCUAUUAGAGUGUUGGAUCAAGUGGGGAUCAGGGGAGUAAAAGCCAGUCAAGGGAGAAUUUGUUGAUAUGGGGCAUUCUCCCAUGAUACACUGUUAAACACUCUAGCAAGUGUCUGAAGGGUAGUUCUAAUAUACUGCUGGGAUAGUUUUAGAAGCUGGAUAAGACCAGUGGUCUACAAUAAAUGAAGCAGAAGUCCUAGAACCUCUAUGGAGUCCAGUGGAAGAAAUUGUGGAGGAAAGGAUCCAAAGGCUCAGAGGACAAGGCAUGCUACAAUGAAUCUAGCACAUAAGGCUGAAAAAUAUAUUGACUGGCCAAGUUCUUCACAAGGGCUGGAAGGCAUUCAGUUUAUCAAGGAAAUAAGGGAUAUAUUGGUGGUGGUCAUGGGGACAUCAGGGUCUUUAAGAAGGCUGGUGGUAGGGGUGCAUGGGUGACUCAGUUAUUAAGGGUCCGACUCUUGAUUUUGGCUCAGGUCAUGAUCUCACAGUUUGUGAGAUAGAGCUCCCAUGUCUGACUCUAUGCUGACAAUGCAGAACAUGCUUUGGACUCUCUCUCUCUCUGCUUCUUCCCCCCUCCCCCGACUCUCUCAAAAUAAAUAAGCAUUUAAUAAAAAGCAGCCCAAUGGUAGAAUGUCCUCUGUAAGCUGGGGCUAAUUGUAGGGGCAUGCUGUAAAAAACUGAUCUUGGUAACAGUGGGAAUGAUAGGACUUCUGAGGAGUAGAAGCCAAGUAGCAACACUCAACUGUCAGAAAUAAAGUAGCACAAUUACCAUGGUGAGUAACAAGGUCAUAAUGGCAGGCAGAAGAGAAUGACCCUUAGGAACCUAUGUGAAUGGUUCGUUGAACGUGGCGUUUUUAGAGGCAAGAUAGAUGGGUAUCCAGCAACAUCUUGCACUUCUUACCACUAAGAGAGAAGCACAUUUGGUAGGCAUCUUUGGGUUUGGAGACAGCAUAACCUGCUCUUAGGAAUACUAUAAGUCAUGUCUUAGAUGACAGAGAGGGACUGUAGAUUUGAGUAGGUCUUAGACUCUGUUGCAAGCAGGCCUCUUCCUUGGGCCAAUGACAUAGCAGACUCCAUAGUACUAGAGAUAUGUGUGAAAGAGAAAGACAGCAUAUAGAGCUUCUGAUAUGGACCCAUAGGUGAGUCACAGAGAAGCCCGUCAGGAGCAAGAACAGAUCAUCUGCAACAGAGAACUGUAUGCCAUUUGAAAAGCAACUCCUGGCAUUAUACUGGGCUCUGGUGGAAAUUGAGCUUCUAAACUUAGGAUAUUCAGUGGCCAUGUAGCCAGAAUUUUCCAUCAUAGCUAAGUACUGUCACACUCUGAUACAGUAAUAUCCCUGGAUAUUGUAAUAUCCCCUGCAAUAUCAAGCUACUUGCUGGAAUUGACUACAUCAGAUUCUUUGUACUAUAGAAAGUACAGUGUUUCAUCUUAACUGAGAUCCACUCAUAGUCCAGGUAUGAGUUGGUUUUUUUCUGCUUGCUCGUUGUUGGUCAACACCAGUAUCUGAGGGUUCCUUGAGUGUCUAACUUAUUGAAAGGCAAUCUUGCAUAACAUUACCUUGGAACAAGGGACCACUUUACAACAGAUGAAGUGUGGCAGUUGGCAUUUGACUGUGGAGUAUACUGCAUGGCUUCUUGAAGGCAGGGGUAAAGCUGAGGGGCUGGUUUAGAGAUGACACACUCAAAGUAUGGGGUCCUAUUCUUUAGGAUAUGCUAUACAACUGCAACAAAAAAAACAUUACAUAGUACUGUGGACUCAAUAGGUAAAAUGCAUGGGUCUGGAAGUUUAGGGUUGGAAAUAGAAGUAGUCCUCUUUCUCAUCACCCUAGUAACCUGAGGUCCUUGUUCUCAGAUAAGGAUGCUUCCAUCAUGGAUCAUAGAACUCAAAGCCCUGGCUGGCACCACAUCACUUAUUAUAGCUGGUCAGCAAGCAAGGAAAGUUACCAUAUUGGCAGAAGUAAUUGACCAUGAUUAUGAGCAGGUACCCUGCUGCUACAUAAAGGUGUAGGGCACCUCUCCUGCCCAUUGUGAAAAGCAAAUGCAGUAACUGUGGCUUGAGAAGGACACAGAAACAGAUUUCAGAGAUGAGGACUUAGGUUAUACCACCAAGCAAGCCACCUGGACCAGCCAGAGUAGUGGCUAAAAGUGGGAGAGGGUCAGAAUGAGAAAGAGGGUGAAUAUCAGCUACUGCCUUGCAGUCAGCUAAAGCAGUGGGGGUUGUAAUUUGUCCCAGCAACUUUCCUCUUGUAAGUUUUCCCAGAAGUGCUGUCCAACCAGAAUCCUGAAGAAGCUGUGCCUAGAUGGAAAUACUUACCCAUGGAAAUUACAUUACCUAGUAAAAGGGCUUUUACAAAGUCUCCUCUAUGCCAUGGUCUAUGGUCUUUGAUGGACUUUUGACAAAUCGCUUAGCCCAGACUUCAGAGUGUGUGAGUGUAUGUGCUAGUGCUUGCAUGUGUGAAUCUGUAUGUUUUGGACAUGAUAAUGUUUGCAAUCUUGGUAACUGCUCAGUGAUAGUCAAGGUGGCUGGACCAGGUCAUGACUCAUGCCAGAUGACUCUCCUACAGGUUCAUGCCUUCCAACUUCAGGCAAGCCCUCAUUGCUGUUCAGCAUUUUGUCUCUGUUCCCCCCCCCCCCAUUAUAUUUCCCAUAGCUCCUGCUCCAAAGCCUUCCAUUCUCCUCAAGUCCAGAAAACCAUUCCUGUAAAUUUCAGAAUAGCAGAUGACCUCAGAACAUACUUUAUGGUGAUGGAAGCUAACUAAUGUAAACUCUAACUUCUUACUCCUCACCUGGCUUUGGGGACAUUGUUCUCUUGUGGGUCUAUCUUUCCACGGCUUACUCUUAUUCUACCUCCCGCACUUCACACAGGUCUUCCCUACAGGCCUCUUUGGUCAUUAUCACCAUCUUAAAAAUAAACGCAGGCACAAAUAAGCCAGGCACAAAACACAUCAGUAUCUUCUUAGCUAUUCUGUCAAUUAUGUGUUCCCAAGGUUUCUCUCUUAUUUAUUUUUCAUUUACUUAUUUUUACAAGGUUUCUCUUUUAAAUCUGUACUUGAUUGGCAUUGCUGAGGUUAGAACUUCAUUUUCUUCCUCCUGGAUAGUAGGAGCCUUUGGUGUUUCUCUUCUUCGUGUCCACUAGAAUAAUCUUUCUAAAACAUGGACUUGAUCUAUUUUUUCAUACUCAGACUUUCUUUUUGUCUUUCCUUUUUACUGUAAAUGAAAUGCUUUGUAUUUUGUUGUGAAUGCAUGCUUUAUACAUUGUGAAAUAUAGCAUACCAGAAGAAUGUAUAUAGCAUAUAAGUAGCAUUUAAAAACUAGUAAAAUGAUCACUGCUCACAAGUCAGAUUAAGAAGUAAGAGACUACCUUUUUUUUUUUUUAAGUUUAUUUAUAUAUUUUGAGAGACACAGAGAUAGAAUGACUGGGGGAGGAGCAGAGAAAGAGGGAGAGAGAAAAUCCCAAGCAGGCUCCACACUGCCAGUGCAGAACACAACCUGGGGCUUGAACUCACCAAACUACGAGAUCAUGACCUGAGCCAAAACCACGAGUCAGAUGCUCAACUGACUGAGCUACCCAGGCACCCCCCUGAGCUACCCAGGCGCUCCAAAAAGAUACUACCUUUACUUUUGAAAGCCUAUGUUUUUUGAGUUCUUGCCCAAUUGCAUCUCCCUUUCUUUGCCCCAAAGGUACCCACUAUCCUGAAAUUAUGUUAGUUAUUCCCUUGUUUUCCUCAGUUUACCAUCUUGGUAUAUAUAUUAACCUAUAUAAAGAUUAUAUAUGUAUACAUUAUAUAAACUACAUCGCUAGGGGUGCCUGGGUGGCUCAGUCGGUUGAGCAUCUGACUUUGGCUGAGGUCAUGAUCUCGCUGUCUGUGAGUUCGAGCCCCAUGUUGGGCUCUGUGCUAACAGCUCAGAGCCUGAAACCUGUUUCAGAUUCUGUGUCUUCCUCUCUCUCUGCCCCUCCCCCACUCAUGCUCUCGUGCUCUCUCUCUCUCUCUGCCAAAAAUAAGUAAACAUUAAAAUUUUUUUAAAUAAAAAAAUAAACUACACCUCUAUAUUGUUUCAUUUUACCUGGUUUUGAACUUCAUAUAAAGGGAAUUAUAAUGUGUUAUUCCACAUAACUCGAUAUUUUCACUCACAUGAUUUUUUUGAGAUCCAUUUAUGUUGAUAAAUAUACCUGUAAUCUGUUUUUCACUGUUGCAUAGUACUCCAUUUCAAAAAUACAUUCUGAUUUUUUUUUUUUUUGGUCUAUUUUACUGUUGUUGGGCAUUUGGACAGACUUAUUGUUGCAAAACAGUUUUAUUAUAAUUGUUUUUGUAUAACUUUCCUCAUGUUCAUAUAUUUAAGAAUUUCUCUAGGGAUACCUGAGUGGCUCAGUCAGUUGAACAUCCGACUCUUGAUUUUGGUUUAGGUCAUGAUCACAGGGUCAUGGGAUCAAGCCCCAAGUCGGGUUCUGCCCUGAGGGUGGAGCUUGUUUAAGAUUCUCUGUCUCUCUUUCUUCCCCUCUGACCCUCUCCCUCUCAUACUCUCUCAAAUUUUUUUUUUUAAAGAGGAAGUUCUCUAGAACAUAUAUCUAAAAGUGGUAUUGUUGGAUAUGCACAAAUUCACCUGUCCUGUGAUUUUAAAUUGUUUUCUAAAGUAGUUGUAACCACUUCAUUCUACAUCAGUAGUGUAUGAGAAGUAUCUUUAGUCCACAUAUUGCCAGUUCGUGACAUUUUUAGAUUUUUAACUUUGAACUGGUCUGCUUGGACAUGACAUUGUAUUUCAUGAUAGUUUAAAUAUACAUUGCCUUGAUUACCAUUGACAUGGAGAAAUUUUUCCUAUGCUUACUCUCCAUUCAUCUUCUGUGAAAAACUAUUCAUUAUGUCUUUUUCCCAUUUCUAGGGGUUGUUUGACAUUCUCAUUUUAAUUCAUAGGCUUUCAAAUUUUAUUCUGGACAGCAGCAAUCCUUUAUCACUCUUUUCCUUUUUGGUUUAUGUUUUUGUUUACUUUGAAAGUUAUUUAUUACCCUGAAGUGUUAAGUGCAUUUUCCUAUAUAGUCUUUUAGAGGUUUAAAGUCUUGCUUUUCCCAUGUAAGUUCGUGAGCCAUCCCGAACUGAGUGUUCAUGUGUUCAAAGACACUACCACGUUGUUUUUUCCUUCGUGUGGAUCAUCAGUUGUCCUUGCAGAGGUCAAUGAUAAAUUCAUCCUUUUGCCACUGAUUUGCAAUACUAGUUCUUUCCUAUAUCAAGUUUCCACCUAGGUGUACAGAUCGGAUUCUGAAAUCUCUGUCCCAUUUCACUGGUCUAUAGGGUUAUCUCCACAUACACCUAAUCUCACACUGUCUUAGUUACUACAGAUGUGUAAUAAGCCUUGCUAUCUGAUAGGUCAGGUCCCUCCUCUGGUUAUUAUUCUUUAGAUAAAAAUUUCUUCAGACUAUUCUUCAGUUGUAGAGAAAAACUUUGUUCCUUUAUAGCUCCAUCUCCCACCCUUUAACCUAGUUUUAAAAUUAUUUAUAUAUAUAUAUUUGCAUUUAUCUUCUAAAUAAUAUAGGGAAGGGGCAUCUGCGUGUCUCAGUUGGUUAAGCAUCUGACUUUGCCUCAAAUCAUGGUCUCGUGGUUCAUGAGUUCACGCCCCACAUCAGGCUCUGUGCUGAUAGAUCAGAGCCUGGGGCCUGUUUUGGAUUCUGUGUCUCCAACUCUCUCUG